rnacentral:lncRNA from 10 species
GUCCGUGAGGGGCAUGGACAUGGUAUGCCCAUGGGAGCUGCUUCCUCCUUAGCCCAGCCCUGACCCUGGAAACCCCAGCCCCACCUCCUCUGUGUCAUGUGGUCAUCGGCCAGGUACACUGGAUGUUUACAGAUACUGAUGACCAUCCCUAGAAUUCAUAUUGAGAAUUUCCGUGCCACAUUAACUUCCAGAUGUCCUUGGGAAAAGUGUCUACUAUGCUGCCUUGGUUUCCUCAAUGAGAGUGAGAACAAAUGGAUCUGAAGAGGUGAUCUUGGCCCUAAUUUCCAAGUUCUGGGAAGAUAAACAGGGUUUUCUUUUGAAUCCUUCGGAGCCUGGGAGCUUCAAGAGAAACUCAACUCCAGGCACUUGAACUGACAGAGAAUUUAGAUUCUCCUCCAGGGAAAGGGGCAGAGCAUGGAUCCUGGCUUUGAGCCGCCUCCCAGCUUUUCUGUUGUCCUUGAGGCUGCUACGUUAACACUGUCCUUGCUUUGUGUGGUUUUGCUGUUACUACCUGUCCUGUGGAUUUCUGACAAUUACAAGCCGUGUACCCCACCACACAUGCAAGCAUUUCUCAUUUAUUCUGAGUACUUUAAGGACUGCCCAAUCUGAAUGCAGAGAACUAUGUCUCAUUCAUUUUUGUGUGUCCAGGCCCUCACAGGGUUUGGGGAUCCUGAUAUAGGGUUGGAUUCGGUGACCUCUCAAAUCCUCUUCAGCACUUUCAUGCACAGAAGCCAGCAUCCUCUGGACUGUCAUUAUCCAGUUUUAUUAAAGCAGGUUACAAUAUAAAAGAACCCAUCAUCAGCCAUCAUCACUGAUCUUGGAUAGCUUGCCCUUGGCUGGUGGCCUAAGGAUUCCUUUCUUUUUUUACCUAUCAAAAUCAUUCUUGUACAUAAGCUGUCCCCCUCCCUGCAAAGUAUUCCUUGACUAUCAUAGACAAAAUAUGUCACUCCCUUCCCUCUUCCCAUGAUCUUUGCUUUACAUUCAAAUGUCACCAUUUUAUGGAUCCAUUUGUUUUCUUUAUCGGAUUGUAAAUUCCUUGAGGGUGGAGACUGGAUCUAAUUCAACAUGGUAUCCCAUGGUUCCUUGCCAUGGGAUAUAGUGAAAAUGCAGCAAGUGUGGGACUUGGUGAACAGCGGAUAGUUCACUUGCUGCAGAGGAUGGGUUUUUCUUUCUCUACCCAUGCCCUUUGACUUUGAGUUUGGCCAUUGGACUUGCUUUGGCCAAUGGGAUGCUCACAGACACCAUGCAAGUAGAGGCUUAGAACAUGUGUAUGAACUUGACUUGCCCUCUGUGCUGUUAGGUCUCCUGACCUAAGGAGGAGGAUGAGAAACACAUGGACCAGACCUGCCCCAGCCAAUCCGCAAGCCUGUGAGUGACAAAUAAAUGCAUAUUAUUGGAUGUCACUGAUAUUUGGAGGUUGUUUGUUUGUUAAUGCAGCAACUGUUGCUUAAUACAAUUGUUAACUUAAAAUGUAGGCUGAAAAACAUAGGAGGCCUUGUGAUGUUCAUUGUCUUUAUGGGUUGAGGUGGA